rnacentral:rRNA from 1 species
GCUUAACACAUGCAAGUCGAGGCUUAUCAGGAAGAAAGCUUGCUUUCUUUGCUGGCGACCGGCGCACGGGUGAGUAACACGUAUCCAACCUGCCCUUUACUCGGGGAUAGCCUUUCGAAAGAAAGAUUAAUACCCGAUAGUAUAAUGAUUCCGCAUGGUUUCAUUAUUAAAGGAUUCCGGUAAAGGAUGGGGAUGCGUUCCAUUAGGUUGUUGGUGAGGUAACGGCUCACCAAGCCUUCGAUGGAUAGGGGUUCUGAGAGGAAGGUCCCCCACAUUGGAACUGAGACACGGUCCAAACUCCUACGGGAGGCAGCAGUGAGGAAUAUUGGUCAAUGGGCGCGAGCCUGAACCAGCCAAGUAGCGUGAAGGAUGACUGCCCUAUGGGUUGUAAACUUCUUUUAUAUUAGAAUAAAGUGCAGUAUGUAUACUGUUUUGUAUGUAUAAUAUGAAUAAGGAUCGGCUAACUCCGUGCCAGCAGCCGCGGUAAUACGGAGGAUCCGAGCGUUAUCCGGAUUUAUUGGGUUUAAAGGGAGCGUAGGUGGACUGGUAAGUCAGUUGUGAAAGUUUGCGGCUCAACCGUAAAAUUGCAGUUGAUACUGUCAGUCUUGAGUACAGUAGAGGUGGGCGGAAUUCGUGGUGUAGCGGUGAAAUGCUUAGAUAUCACGAAGAACUCCGAUUGCGAAGGCAGCUCACUGGACUGCAACUGACACUGAUGCUCGAAAGUGUGGGUAUCAAACAGGAUUAGAUACCCUGGUAGUCCACACAGUAAACGAUGAAUACUCGCUGUUUGCGAUAUACAGUAAGCGGCCAAGCGAAAGCAUUAAGUAUUCCACCUGGGGAGUACGCCGGCAACGGUGAAACUCAAAGGAAUUGACGGGGGCCCGCACAAGCGGAGGAACAUGUGGUUUAAUUCGAUGAUACGCGAGGAACCUUACCCGGGCUUAAAUUGCAGUGGAAUGAUGUGGAAACAUGUCAGUGAGCAAUCACCGCUGUGAAGGUGCUGCAUGGUUGUCGUCAGCUCGUGCCGUGAGGUGUCGGCUUAAGUGCCAUAACGAGCGCAACCCUUAUCUUUAGUUACUAACAGGUCAUGCUGAGGACUCUAGAGAGACUGCCGUCGUAAGAUGUGAGGAAGGUGGGGAUGACGUCAAAUCAGCACGGCCCUUACGUCCGGGGCUACACACGUGUUACAAUGGGGGGUACAGAAGGCAGCUACCUGGUGACAGGAUGCUAAUCCCAAAAGCCUCUCUCAGUUCGGAUCGAAGUCUGCAACCCGACUUCGUGAAGCUGGAUUCGCUAGUAAUCGCGCAUCAGCCACGGCGCGGUGAAUACGUUCCCGGGCCUUGUACACACCGCCC